GACGAAGGUGGCGAGCGUUGUUCGGAAUCACUGGGCAUAAAGCGCACGUAGGCGGCGACGUAAGUUGGGUGUGAAAUCCCUCGGCCCAACCGAGGAACUGCGCCCAGUACUGCGUUGCUUGAGGAUCCAAGGGGUGCAUGGAAUUCCCGGUGGAGCGGUGAAAUGCGUUGAUAUCGGGAGGAACUCCGGCGGCGAAAGCGGUGCACUGGUGGAUUACUGACGCUGAGGUGCGAAAGCCAGGGGAGCAAAGCGGG
rnacentral:rRNA from 1 species